GUGUUAUCCGGAAUCACUGGGCGUAAAGCGUCUGUAGGUGGUUUAGUAAGUCUAUUGUUAAAGCUUGAGGCUCAACUUCAAAUCAGCGAUGGAAACUGCUAGACUAGAGUGUGGUAGAGGUAAGAGGAAUUUCCAGUGGAGCGGUGAAAUGCGUAGAUAUUGGAAAGAACACCGAUGGCGAAGGCAUCUUACUGGGCCAUAACUGACACUCAGAGACGAAAGCUAGGGUAGCAAAUGGGAUUAGAUACCCCAGUAGUCCUAGCAGUAAACGAUGGAUACUAGAUGUUGCCCGUAUCAACCCGUGCAGUGUCAAAGCUAACGCGUUAAGUAUCCCGCCUGGGAAGUAUGCACGCAAGUGUGAAACUCAAAGGAAUUGACGGGGGCCCGCACAAGCGGUGGAGCAUGUGGUUUAAUUUGAUGCAACGCGAAGAACCUUACCAGGGUUUGACAUGACAUGAAUUUUUCUGAGAAGAAAAAGUGCCUUUUAGGAACACGUACACAGGUGGUGCAUGGCUGUCGUCAGCUCGUGUCGUGAGAUGUUGGGUUAAGUCCCGCAACGAGCGCAACCCUUGUUUUUAGUUAUUUUUCUAGAAAGACUGCCGGUUAUAAGCCGGAGGAAGGCGGGGACGACGUCAAGUCAGCAUGCCCCUUAUACCCUGGGCUACACACGUGCUACAUUGGGUAAGACAAUGAGUCGCGAGCCUGUGAAGGUCAGCAAAUCUAUAAACUUACUCUAAGUUCGGAUUGUAGGCUGCAACUCGUCU
rnacentral:rRNA from 1 species